GUCUACGGCCACGCCACCCUGAGCACGCCCGGUGUCUGAUCUCGGAAGCUAAGCAGGGUCGGGCCUGGUGAGUACUUGGAUGGGGGACCACCCAGGAAGACCAGGUGCUGGAGGCG
rnacentral:rRNA from 1 species